ACUCAAAUGAAUAGACGGGGGCCCGCACAAGCAGCGGAGCAUGUGGUUUAAUUCGACGCAACGCGAAGAACCUUACCUGGGCUUGACAUGUUCGUGACCGCUGUGGAAACACAGCUUUCCUUCGGGACACGAUCACAGGUGGUGCAUGGCUGUCGUCAGCUCGUGUCGUGAGAUGUUGGGUUAAGUCCCGCAACGAGCGCAACCCCCGUUACAUGUUGCCAGCGGUUCGGCCGGGGACUCAUGUAAGACUGCCGGUGACAAACCGGAGGAAGGUGGGGAUGACGUCAAGUCAUCAUGCCCCUUAUGUCCAGGGCUACACACGUGCUACAUUGGCCGGUACAAAGGGUUGCGAUACCGCGAGGUGGAGCGAAUCCCAUAAAGCCGGUCUUGGUUCGGAUUGGAGGCUGAAACUCGCCUCCAUGAAGCCGGAGUUGCUAGUAAUCGUGGAUCAGCAAUGCCACGGUGAAUACGUUCCCGGGCCUUGUACACACCGCCCGU
rnacentral:rRNA from 1 species